UGUCAAAAAUGGAACUUCUUAACCGGUAUUACAAUAUACGUACACUAAAAGACUGGCUAAACAGACGCAGUGACGGAGACAUGAACAUAACUGUAUUGUUAGAUACUGAUACUCAAAGUUACAAGACACUACUGACUUCAGUGUAUGUGUGUGAGGACAGUGACCGAUGCCCUCUGCCCGGCGUCUUAUUGUCUCAUUACUAUGAGCAGAGGGAACUCAUUUUAAAUGCCAUAGAGAGAAUUUUAUGCAAGAAAGGGUAUGGAAAGAACAUCCUCACAUAUGGAUUUUGUUUGAUGUCUCCAGAUCCUUUUGCACAUAGUUGUGGUGUUAAUGUUGAAAGUAGAUAUCCUAACUCCUGUGUGAACAGAUUGUUCUAUCCAGCAUGGGAAACUUUACUUUCCAGGAUAGGUGACACACUGAUGAUGUACUUGUUAGAACAUACAUCACUCUUCUUACAGAUUACACCGACAUGUCUGGUUCAGAUAACAGGUACACCUAUACAUAACCUAUCUGAAACUGCAGUGGAAGGGAACAUUAAAAAGUUCCAUAAAGUUCAGAAAGUCUGGAAUGGAAAUGACUUAGAACAGAAGAACGUUGAUAGAAUUAUGAAAAAUGAGUGUACAGUAGGUGAGAUUGGAAUAGGACUUGAACAGCUGAGUUCUAAACAUAAAGAGUUAGAUUCUAAAGAGAACAAAGAAGAAUUUGCUUCUGGUACAGGUACCAAAGGUGGUUCAGACAGUCUGGUUGUGCUGGAAACAGAAACAGACAUUGAACAUGGCAGAAAUAGACAGACUGGAGAAGAUCGUAAACACAUAUUUUUGACUAAAAAUGAAAACCUAAUGCAUAGAACAAUCUAUAGAUCGUGCAGUAAAAAUGGGUCCUUAAAAACUAAUUUGGAAGCAACGGGAAAAAAGAAGAGAAAAUUUGAAGACAUCAGUGAAGACCGUUUUCAAAAGUUGAAAAGAGAGAGUGAAAAAUAUGCAAAAAGUAGCAGGCAAAAAACAGAUGAUCACAUUUCAAAUACACAUGAUGACCUGGAGGACUUAGACGUGAGAACUGAAGAGAAUCAAGCAGAUGAUGUUGUGAGUAGAAAAGAAAUAUAUCCAAGAAAACGAAAGUUUAGUGAAGUUUCUUGUACUGAUAGUGAAAUUGAAGUCUGUAUGCAGAUGGGCAAGGAUACUAAACGCAGAUGUUUGGAAAAUAAGUAUAAAAGAAACAUUGAAGAUGUUACAAAUACUGGUAACACAAAAGGUGAUGAAACCAUGCAUGACAUUGUCACGCCUGAGGCAGGACAUAACUUAGAUGUAACAAAAAUAGAGAACAAAAAGAGUGUGUUCAGAACUUUGAAAAAGAUCAGAAACAAGAGGAAAAAACCAAAGAGAAAAAAUUUCAAGAUUUCAGAAGAGAGAAAUAAAUCCAAAUCUUCUUUUUGUCCAUUUGAAUACCAUUUACCUGUACCUAGAAACAAUGUGUUAUUUAGCAGAAAUCCAAGAGAAAGGCUACCAAAAUCAGUAUUACUAUCAAAACUGGACUCUACCAUUGAAGAUACCUUGCUACUGUAUAAAGAAAUUUUCCAUGAGACCAAAGUUUUCAGGAGAAGUGAAGUACAAGCUACCUACCCUGAUCUUCAUGAGAUGAGGAGGGCUUUGAACAUUCCUGAUAAGGGUUUAAAUCUCCCCCAAGACUCCAAUAUCCCUCGGCAAUCUUUCGUAAACAGUUUCCAAACAAGCAACAGAUCUUGUGAGAACGGUCAUCCAAGUUUUUGGAAUGAUUCGACUGGUAUUAAAAUGAGUACGACAUAUUUGACUUGCACAUUUGAGCAGGCAGGAACUUCAAGACAAGUCAGUAUAAAUCAGUCUUGUAGAGAUUUGUCAAGUUGUAGUAAAUCAAAGAAUUGUUCACUACAGUCUGUGGUGACAAAUGAUGAAACUGGUGAUUUAGAAGGUACAUGCAAAUCUAAACCUAGCUCAGAAAUGUUAGAUUCUUGUAAAUUUAAAGUGGAUAAUGCUCUAGCUGUUGGUAAAUGUGAAAAUGGAAUCAAAGAGAGAGUCAAAAGCUGUGAAAAGGAAACACUGCUGGUGAAAAGGAAAUGUGAAAUUCUUCGGAGAAGAAAGGUAGAGUUAAACCAUUUUGCGACAGGUGAUAGCAUAAAGACAAACACAUCAGUAGUGGACGAUGGCAUACACUUUGACAUACCUGCAUAUGGUGACAAUAUUGUAUCUGCAGUAUCACUUCAGGAUAAUAGGUUCACACAGGGUGACAGAAUAAAGUCUGUAGUCUCGGUAGAGGGUAACAGUAAAGAUUGUCAUUGUGAUGGUGUUGUAGCUGGGCAAUGUGGAGGAAAUGGAGUGGAUUUUGAAUGCCAGCAGCAGAAACAAAAGUCUUCUAGUACCAGUGUGGAAUACAUUAGAUCCAGUCUCGGAACAGGGAGACCUGGAAUGUCCUUUGGAGCUGAUAAACAUCCAGCUGUAACUGAGGCAAGUGCAUUUAACUGUGAAGAAAAGAACAGUGAUGGUAAGACAGAAGAUCAAGCUUAUGUAUGUAGCAGUCAACCUACAGAAGUUGCCAAUACACAGACAAUAGAAAUUCCCAUCAUGCCAGAAGUUAUACUUUUGCUGAAACAGUUUAUUGAGAGACACAGGAGAUGUCCGUACAGAGCACUUCUAAAUCACCAUUGUCCCAUUAAAUGCAAGAAAGCAGCCUCAAUUGGCUACCUUAGGAAAAGGCAAGGUUUACUGAAAAGACGUGGCAGUUUCUCUGUAUCAGAUUUGUUGAGUAACCAUCAUCAUCAUCGGAAGGUAUACUUGUUCCUUAGAGCCUGCAUAUUGAAGGUGAUGCCAGUUGCUCUGAUAGGGACCAAACAGAACUUGAAUAUUCUACUGAAAAAUGUAUCAAAGAUGAUAUCACUAGGAAAGUAUGACAGACUGACACUUGGCCAGCUCAUGUAUGGAAUAAAAACCACACAAAUUGACUGGCUGACCGAUGCAAGUUCUAACAGUGUCAGACUCCAUGUACUGGCCAAGUUGAUGCUUUGGCUGUGUGGCCAUGUCUUGGUCCUGUUGAAGACAUAUUUCUAUAUCACUGACACUGGAUUCCUUAGAUACAGACUUGUCUACUAUAGACAGACCACCUGGAAUAAACUUCAUAGUCUAGGUUUUAAAGGUUUGAUAAACAGAAAGAUUCUCAAGACUGUUUCAGAGAAAAAGGUUCUAGAACUGUUGCAAAGCAAGACCAGUCUCGGUGUGUCGUUGCUAAGGUUUCUACCAAAGCCACAAUCUCUCAGACCAAUUACCAAUAUGGGAAACUCAUUGUCGGUCAAUUCAUGGCAGACACAUUCUGUGAACAAGCAGAUACUGGAUCUACACAGCGUCAUGACGUAUCUAAAGAACCGUAACCCAUCUAUUAUCGGCCAUGGAAAGCUUGGCACCAAUGAUAUCUACAAGUCAUGGAAGUCAUUGGUCGGGGAUUGGAAAAAGUCGGACUGUCCCAAGCUGUAUUUUGUCAAGACAGAUAUUUCUAACUGUUAUGAUUCAAUCAGACAGAAUAAGCUGUAUGCUAUAAUGGAGGACAUCUUGAAAAAAGAGAUGAAUGAUGAAGAAUUUAUCAUCAGAAAGUAUUUCACUGUUGGAAUAAAGGAUGGAAACAUGUACAGAAAGUUUCAUCGUGACGUAACCCCAAUGUCCGAGUUCAACCCUGAUUUCUCAUCCUUCUGUACACAGAAAGCAAAUAAGGAGAAGCUGAAGAAUGUCAUCUUUGUGGAUAAGGUUGUAUACCAGCAUGAGACAUGUGAGUCACUGCUGAAGUUACUGAAGAGUCAUCUAUUCAACAAUUUGAUAAAAGUAGGGAACCACUACUGCCUGCAAACCUCAGGAAUCAGUCAAGGAUCAGUUAUCUCCACUUUACUGUGUAGUUUUUACUACGCUGACAUGGAGAGAAGUCUGUUCAAAUUUACUGCGGGAGAAUUCCUGAUGAGAAUUGUGGAUGACUACCUGUAUGUUACACCUUCGCAAGAACAAGCUGUUACCUUCCUGAAUACAAUGAUCAGAGGGGUUCCAGAAUACCACUGCUGUACCAACAAGGAGAAAAUUUUAACAAGUUUCAUGUUUGAACAUAAUGAUGGCAUCCUACCCAUGGUCUCAACAGACUGGUUUCCUUGGUGUGGUAUAUUCAUCAACACAAGAACACUAGAAAUCAGCAUGGACUUCACCAAGUACUCUGGUUCCAGCAUCAAAGACACAAUGACUGUUGAACUGUCUAAGACACCUGGAAAGUCCUUGAAAGACAAACUUUUGUUUUCUGUCAGACAGAAGUGCCAUUCUUUAUUUGUGGACUCCAGUAUCAAUUCAGAAAAGCAGAUUUUGAGCAACCUGUAUCAGAUGUUCCUGUUGGCCAUGUUCAAGCUGCACUCACACAUUCAGAAACUUCCCCAUAAACAAAGGGCUCAGAAUAAUACGCAGUAUUUCCUUGGAGUUAUCAGAGAGAUGGUGAAUGUAGUAGGCAAGCUGGUGAAGAAGUAUCUGGCUAUGUUUGAAGGCCUGCUAUGUGAAGCUGAGUAGACAUCACCCACUGUAUAAACAGCUGUUGAAAAACGUAAAGAAACAGUUGAAACAUAAACAAGACUCUUUGACUAGUGAAGAUGUAGAUCUGCUAAAUGCUGUUGUGGAUCCAAAUGUACCAGAGGCUUUUCGUCACUUUCUUCCAUAAGUGCAUUUUACCCUUGUUUUGAGUGCAUAUGUGUAGUGGUUUUAUAUAUCCUGCAUGUUGCGACAUCAUUACUGGAUUCAGAAAGAAUUUUAAUUGGUUUGAUAGAUGAAUUUUGUCUGUUGUGAGGAUUAAUUGCGUGACAAAAUGAAAUAACACCCCUUAACAUAACAAACCAAAAUGAAAACCACAUCUUAUAGUUUCUACAUAAAGUUGAAAUAAUAAAGAUCAACUGUAGGGUCCCAUAAUUUAUCUUACUGAGUAGAAGUGAAUAAAGAAAGAAAACAUAA
rnacentral:misc_RNA from 1 species